UUUUUUUUUUUUAAAUUUGCCAGCCAACAGUCACCAUUCUGAAAUAAAUAAUACAGGGUACUGAACAUCUCUCUCAGCAAAUCAAUGCCUACAGUUCCUAAGAACAUUGCACAGUUUGACUCUACAAUAGUACUGUACCUCAGAAUAUGAGAUGUUAACUAGUGUCUGCAUUGCUUGUCAAAUAUCCAUUUGUUCUUUUAAAGGACACAGAUAACACUAUCCAUUGGUGAUUUAAAAUUGAAAAAAAAAUUAGGAAAAUGGGGAAAAAUCCUCUUGAGAGGAGGAAAAAAAAAAAAAAAAACUACCCCUUACCAUGAUGGUCAGGGAAAUUUACAACUGUAGCAAUCAUGCCAUUUUGCUAAGUGUACAGAAUCUGUUAUGUAAGCAACCAUAACUUUCACUGAGAGUGUGUAAAUAUUUAAACAGAUUUCUUAAAUAUUUUUAACUUCUAAUUUGUAUUUUACGGUAAGGCAAUGUACUAAUUCUGUUUAUGGCUUACAUCGACGUGCUAUGUUAUGUACAUAAUUAAAUAUGCUGUAAAUUAAUAGUCAAUAGAUACAAAUAAUUGCUUAGGGUUUUUGUCUUAAUUUUAUCUAUUUAUUUUUUACUAAGUAUGUUUACUGCAGUGCCCUGGCAGAGUAAUUUAAACACCCUUUUACAUAAAUGAUUUGGGAAUCCCAGACAUAAGUGUUCCCACUGCUGUUUCUCACAUACAGGUAUGAAUACACACACACACACACACACACACCACAGAGCAUCGUCUACUCUCUGCUUUUCACUCCCAUUUUCUCCCUCUUAGUGGGAAAUGUAGCCUUGUUUUGGCGUCAUAUUAACAACCAAGAGAUGCUUUUAAAAUGGUAAAUGGAAAAAAGGAGAAGUGGUUAGGAUUAACUGAAUAGUUUUUCUAUGCGAGAUUAAAAGAAGCCAAAGUUUGCAAACUAUAGCUAGUCCCCCAAAAGUAGACAUUUAUAGCAGCACUGCAGAUAACAACCACAAGAAUUAUUCGUACCAGCUCCAGAAAUUUGUUACAUAUGAUGCAUGCUGGAAGAGGUUUUUUGUUUUUGUUUUUUUUUAAGUAUAUGCUAGUAUAUGUUUGUCUUUAGAUAGUAUUAUUCCUUUCAACCAAAGACUCCAGAAUUAUUUUUCAAAAGCAAAGGGGAAAAAAAAAAAACAAAAGAAAGAAAGGAAAUGAGAAAAAAAAGUCACUGCUUCACACCAAAGUUUAAAUAAUUUUUCCAAAUGCAGUAGGGAGAUGGUUUUAAAAAAUAGAAAAGAGUCAAUAGAGAGUAAAUUCAGAAGCUGCCCUGAGAAAAUUAUUGUUUGUUUGUGUGUGUGUUUGUGUUUUUAAGUUGGAAACAAAUAAAGCUGUACCCUUAAGUAGCUUUACUUUUGGGAAAUUCAUUGAGAACAUUUCUCUAGAUAUGUGCAAGAUUUUUGACAUCAAUUUUUAAUUUGAUUUAAGAAGUACUUUUGUGAUAAACAUCCAAAACGAUGAAAAGUAAGAGUUUAUUUUGAGUUCUAAAGCAAAAUGCCACUCCCUGUCAGAUCACCUCCGUCUGAGGCCACACCCAUCACUUUCCACUUGAAUCAAGCCAACAUUUCCAUCAGCUUCUAUUCUUUCUCAUUUUAUGCUUUAGUUCAGUGGUUAAGAGUCCACACACAUCCAUUUUAAACACAAUUCACUCAAACAAAGUUGCUUAUAAUUUAAAUUCCAUGCCACUUACAAUUUUUUCUUUGCAUGGGUGUUUAAAUAGUUCUGUUAUGGAAUUGUUCCUGCAUAGUUCUGAGCUGUCCUUUUAUAAGAAGUGAUGUUCCAGUGUCUUCACAAUGUAGUGAUUAUCAGCCUUACAACGACCUUGUAGCCUUUCUGAACACACACAUCAUGCUCACUCCCCAAUGGCUAGAAAAUACAAAGCACUAGCAGGAUUCAUUGCAUCCGUUUUCACAUCUUUCUAACAUCAGGACUUCUAAAAAUCUCUGGGAUACAUGCGGUAGUAAAAUUCAAAAGAGGAUUAUCAAUGAAUAGCACAUAAGAAUUAUUUUCAUGAAUUUCAACUAAUUGCAGCCAGUUUCAGCAUGUAAAUAUAUAAUAAUGUUGGCUAGUGUGUAAUUCUUGACCUAAGAAAUAUAAAUAAAAGCAAAAAGUU
rnacentral:lncRNA from 1 species